GUGAGGAGCCGCCCUCACAGUCGCCGUUACAAGAUGGCGCUGACAUCCAUUGCUCGUAGUAAAAUGUGCGCAGGCGUCAGGGUAUCAUUCCAUUACCUGAGCCCUGCCUUUCUCGUGGCGUUAACUGACUGAUAGUGGGCAGCCAAUCCCAGUGGUGCACAUCUCCAACCGUUUUUUCACAGCCUAUAAAAGGGAAGGGUUUUCUGCUCUCUGGGUCUCCUCUCCUGAAGCUGAUCAUCUGUCUCUCGGGAUGAAAUAAAGCUUACUGCAGAAGGAUCCGAGUGGCCUGCGUGCGUUUUGCUGGCGAGACGGUAGCGUGGGUCAUCUGGUGCCGGAAUCCCAGGAAUUAACAUCGCUGGUGUUGGGGAGAACCCCCGGAAACGGGGCGGAUUCAGAACUGCAGGGAAAAGGAAGAAGACAAUCCUCUUUGGGUUCCAGAACGCCUCACCCGAAGGAUCUCCCCUUCAGAAGAUGUGGACAAAAGAGGGAACACUGAAACAACGAUAGAUACUGACCCUUCUACCGGAGAUCCUGGUUCCUAGUAUAUCAGGGGAAUUGCGUUGGGUAUUAUGUCCACCUUUCCCUGCCCAUGCCUGUCAUGCACAGUGCACAAGUGAGCAGUUUAAGCUUAUUUAAAGAAAAGAGAGAUUUUAGAAUCUCUGCUAUUAUAGUUGUCUUGGUAGCAACAGAGGCAAUAGCUGCCUCUAUCACUGCUUCGGCCCUUGCCUUGUCUGCUACGGUUCAGACAACGCGAACCAUCAAUGAUCUUUCGGCAAGAGUGACAUCGGCCCUGGACAGGCAGGCCACGGCCAACUCCCAGAUAUAGGGAGGCCUCAUGUUGGUAAACCAACGGAUCGAUCUGGUCCAAGAACAGGUGGAUAUCCUGUGGCAAAUGACUUAGCUGAGUUGCGAACAUAAGCUGCCUAGCCUCUGUAUCACCUCAGUACAAUUUGAGAAUUUUAUAAGAGCAAUUAACCUGUCAAAGGCUUUGUCUCGUUAUUUGUUACAGAAUUGGACCAUAGAAUUUGAACAGACACUCUGGGAGCUGAGGAUCGCCACGUCUGGACCUGUCAUUGACGGAAGGAUUUUCUACCUGGAUUUCUGCAGCAUUCUCCUACUUAAAGGAAUGGGUGGGGGUGGAUUUGUUUGGAGUGGCUGUGUGCGGUGGAGUACUGCUCCUACUAUGGAUGAUCUGCAAACUUAAAGCCCAAACAAGGAGGUACAGGAUGGUAGUAACCCAGGCACUUGUUGCUUUGGAGCAUGGUGCCUCCCCCAAUAUAUGAUUAUCGAUACUUAAGCAAUAGGUCGCUGGCCACUCAGCUCUUGCACCCCACGAGGCUAGUCUCAUUGCACAGGAUAGAGUGAGUGUGUUUCAGCAGCCUGGGAGAGUUGUACGGCUAAGCACUGCAGUAGAAAGGCUCUGCUGCAUAAAAUGAGCCUAUUCUAGGGAGACAUGUCAUCUUGUAUGAAGGUUGAGUGUCCAAGUGUCCUUCCCCCAGGAAAAAACGACACGGGAGCGGACCAAAACCCCUCCGGGUGACGAGCCUGGGAGGAGGUUUUGUGUAAGGCCCCUAUGCUUGCACACUGGGGAUUUGACCUCUAUCUCCACUCUCAGUGCUGGGUGGCCUGUUGCUUCUAAAUAAAAGAAAAGGGGGAGAUGUGAGGAGCCGCCCUCACAGUCGCCGUUACAAGAUGGCGCUGACAUCCAUUGCUCGUAGUAAAAUGUGCGCAGGCGUCAGGGUAUCAUUCCAUUACCUGAGCCCUGCCUUUCUCGUGGCGUUAACUGACUGAUAGUGGGCAGCCAAUCCCAGUGGUGCACAUCUCCAACCGUUUUUUCACAGCCUAUAAAAGGGAAGGGUUUUCUGCUCUCUGGGUCUCCUCUCCUGAAGCUGAUCAUCUGUCUCUCGGGAUGAAAUAAAGCUUACUGCAGAAGGAUCCGAGUGGCCUGCGUGCGUUUUGCUGGCGAGACGGUAGCGUGGG
rnacentral:lncRNA from 1 species